rnacentral:rRNA from 1 species
AUGGAUGCGCCGCCGCCGCCGUGGCGCUACAGGAAGAAGCGCAAGUUUGAGCGAGUGCACGACCAAGAAUCACCACUGGCGGGCGGUCUCGAUCUCAUCAACGCCCUCCCCGACGCCGUCCUCUGCACCAUCAUCUCUCUCCUUCCCACCAAGGAAGGAGCCCGCACGCAGGCCGUCGCCCGCCGGUGGCGACCCCUGUGGCGCUCCGCGCCCCUCAACCUCGUCGCCGACUUCUCCCUCUCCUGGAAGGAGCGCAGGCGCGUCGCCCUCAUCUCCAAGGUCCUCGCCGAGCACCCUGGCCCAGCCCUCCUCUUGGAGCUCCCCGACAUCCGCCAACGCGACCACCACAAGCUCGACGGCUGGCUUCGUUCCCAGGCCCUCACCGGUCUCCAGAUCCUCUACUUAGGGUACAGCGCCGAUGAUGACAAACACGGUCUGCUGCCGCCGCCCGCGCUCCGCUUCGCGCCCACACUCCGCGUCGCCACAUUCCGCCGCUGCCAUUUCCCGGACCUGUCUGGGCAGUCUCUGAAUUUUCCAUGCCUCAACAAGCUCAGCUUGUAUAAGGUCGCCAUCUCGGCCUUGCCCGCGCAUUCUCUGAAUUUCCCACACCUCAAGCAGCUCACCAUAUGUGAGGUCACCAUCUCGGGGGACUCUCUGCACAACAUGCUCUCUGGCUGCCAUUCAUUGGAAAGCCUUUUUCUGGAAGGCAUUCUUGGCGCUGCUCGUCUCUGCAUCAGCUCCGCGACUCUUAGGAGCAUCGGCUUCUCUGCAAUAAGGCGGAGGGUGUGGGGGUGGGAAUGUGAUUGGGACUUUGCUGACCUUUUACAAGAGCUUGUCAUCGAGGACGCUCCUUGCCUUGAGAGGUUGCUGCCCCUCUAUCCAGGUUCUGGUCCGGAGACUGUACGGGUAAUCCAAGCACCUAAGCUCCAAGUAUUAGAUGUGUUGUCGAGCCAAAUAUUCAAACUCUUCAUUGGAACCACGGUUUCUCAGAAAAUGAUUCCCAUCAGCGUGACAACCACAAUGCCCACCGUGAAGGUUUUAGCUAUUGAAUUUGAUGACCCUAAUCUUGAUGCACUAAUUGGCCUGCUCAACUGCUUCCCCUGCUUGGAGAGGCUCUAUGUCAUUUUUGACGCAUGGUCACGGAUGAAGAUGAAAAGUGUGCAAAAAUAUGACCCACUGGAUCCAAUUGAAUGCCUCGAGAGCUAUCUCAAAAGAGUGGUGUUGGAGGGCUACUCUGGGGACAUGCCGAAUGUUGAAUUUGCUAAAUUUUUCGUUUUGAAUGCCAAGGUGCUAGAAGAAAUGAAAUUUGGAUCCAUUCACAGCCGCGACCGCGAAUGGAAGUCUAAUCAACACAUGUGGUUACAAGUGGACAGCAGAGCUUCUCGAGGCGCUCGAUUCGAAUUCACAAGUCGUUAUUGUAGGCAUAAUGGCCUAGGUAACAGUCAUACACAUGACUUGUCAAUGGCCAAUCCCUUCAAGUGCUUUGAUGCUGCAUGCAAACUCGGCAUUCAGGAAUGCCUUUUUUGUAAUCCAAAGUAA